CCAAAGUGAGAAAUGUCAUGUAGAGAUAAAGGCAGAGUAUCUGAAUACCUCAUCUCGGGCUCUGGGCUAGUUAAUGUAAGUUAAACAACAGUUUGUGGCAGUUAGGGUUUGCCCAUCCCCCAGAGUGCUAUCCACCAAUCCCCUUUCUGCAAGGGGGCGGGCCUAUCAGCCUCCCUUCCUUCUUCAUUCUCUGUCCUGGAACAUCCACUGCCUGCUCUCUGCUGCUCUUCAACACCGUGGAGGAAGUGACUGACCAGGAAAUAGUGAACAAGAAGAGCUGAAGGAGGGCCUGGCUUAGAUGACCACAGAGUAUCGUCCUUGAUAAGACUGCUGAAGUGAAAGGUUUGAUUUGGCUUCUAAGAGCAAGAAAUCUGAGGUUAAAAUAUUUUCCGGAAUUGUCAGAAGACCAGGCCUAGGCAUCUGAUGUUCUCCUUUCCCCGGUCCAGCAUACAGAUAGGAGGAGAAUAGAUUCUUGUAUGUCCUGUCUAUGUUGAUCCAUUAGAACUAGAGUUUCAAGAGGUUGUUAGGCACACUGUAGGUGCUGGGACUCCAACCUGGGGCCUCUGCAUGAGCAGCCAGUGCACAUAACCACUGCCCUGUGUGUCACCACACCCAUAUGAUCUUACUGAGGAUAAACACAAAUGCCAGAUUAACUGGUGGGUUAUCUUCUGCCACAUUGAUUAAAUAUGUCCCUACAGCAUGGACCAAGUUUGCUUUGGUGGAUAUAAAUAGUAGACCCUGGUUUUCUCCUGGGAUUGGUCAGUAGGUGGCCCCUGACAACUGCCACUUCAUUUCCUUGGGAUUGUGUUCUGUGGGCUUUAUGACAGAGCUGGGCUCCCGCUUCUUACCAUGCUGCCUGGUGAAGAUUGACUCUGUGAUGUUACCCCAGCUCCAAGGAUGUCUCUGUGCAGUGGUAUGAUCUGUCCUUGGGUCAGUUGCCAUUCACUAUGCACAGUGAUGUGCAAGGCCCUUGCUAGGGGCUGGAUCCCAGGAUCACUGGUGUGGUGGACAAGCUGUGACCAAGGAGCUGACACUCGGGCAGGGUCCAGGGCACUCGGGAAGACAAAGGUGAUGAGGUAAGUCCACAUCAAAACAGGUAAAAAGGGUAAUGAAACUGGGAGUGUCAUCCUCGUAGAGGUUGUUGGGAAACUCAGUCCCUGUGAAAAGAGCUCUGCCAUGAGGACAGUCAUGAGACAGACAGUCAUCAUAAAUGACUGGACCUGAGGAGGGGCUGUGAUAGUGUGAAUUUUAUGGAAACCCUGUGGGACAUUUAUUGUAAUUCAUUGCUUGGUGAAAUGGUGUUCUCCACUCAGAUCUCAGGCCCUGGGAGUGUUGGGUAUAACAACAUGCCAAAGAGCUGACAUGUACACUCCUCUUUUACAGGUGAUGGGAAAGUCAGAAGAUGAGGAGGCCAUCUUGAUAGGAGGACAAUGUUGGAAUCCCAGAAAAAAGAAGCCAUGUUCCUGCCUGGGGCUCCAUCAUUCUUCACAUAUAUAUGCAUGUUGAGUUUCUAAGCAGGUGCCUCCAGUUAUGAUUCUGACCUUAAGUAAACAGUGAAGGGUCACGAGGCUUUUCUGACAGGAACAACACAGGACGGAGCCAAAAUCCUGAUUCUGUGCACCGAAGUCCUUCCCUGUUUGUGGUUGCUGAGGACGGUCUGAAGAGAAAGACGGGACCUGCUGUGUCAGUGAAUGCCCAACCUCUGGAACUCUAUCCUGGUGCUUUCCCACAAGAUGCUGCUGGAUAUGGCCCCGUGGCAGGCCAAGAGCCUCUGUCUGCCAGACAGGAGACACCGUCACUGAGUCCAGCAAGCUCACGUGCAUCAUCACAAGCAGAUGUCGGAUGGAGGUCUGGGAAACACAGUGUGGACACGUGUGAUGUAGGUCCUCCAUUUCAGUGCCUAGACCUAGAAUUCCUCUGCACGUUGGGGCUUGGAAAAUGGCCACGUGCAGAGGGGCUGGCAGUUCAGGUCAGUGGUUAUUCCUCAAAUGUGAGACCUCUGGGUAUCCAACUGUUAUCGAGUGCCUUCUCUUCCCUUGCCUUCCCCCACGCUUCAGCAAGGACGCUGCACACUCGUUUCUCUCAGUGCAGUGGUGGAAAGAGAGAAGAAGGGGAGUAGCACAGGCUUGCCUCUCAAUAUGAUUGGUGUUUCAGGGAAGGUCAUUAGUGGAGGUGCUCAGGGUCCCUGGAAACUCCUCUGUGCUGUCAUCUGACAUGGCACACACUGACAGAGUUCCCUCUGACGCUUGAGAGAACUCCCUGAAGGCAAUUUUUACAUUACGACUGGAGAUGAGACAUUCAGAGGGGGUGAGGCAGUGUGCCCCUGGUCCCACUGAGCAUGAGUUGGGAGCCAGAGGUUGAUAACUUUGACUGACUAAGGGAAACACCAGAUAUCUCUAUGUUGCCCUGGGCUGUUUGAGAGUCAGUGCGAUUAUCUGAAAUAAACCCUCUUCAGUUGCAUUUCUAUCACAGUGACGUGACACUUCCAAGUUAUACUGCAUGACCAUGUGAAGCCAAGGCUCGUGUGCAAAGGGACUACCCAUGUCAUAGCCACAGUCUAGAGCAGAGGGAAAGAAAGGCCUGCAUGAGGCUUGCUUGCUUGUGCUCAUCUAGAGCUCUCUGCUGUCAUGCAGUCUGGGACACGAGCCUAGGGAUUGGCACUACCCAAAGUGUUGUGGCUUCCAUUGUCAGUUAAGGUAAUCAAAGAGGUCCUCUACAGACAUGCUCACAGGGGACUUCAUCUAGAGGACUCCUCUGUGAAGACUCUCCCUCCAGGUCACCUCUCCUGCACUGCUUGAGAGUCUGAUUAAAGACCAUGAAUUGAUCCAGUGGCCACCACAGCUCCCAACAUUGAAAACUCUCAGACUCAUGACUAGACGCUUCAGCUUCUCACUUUGCCUGGGCUCAAGGCUGACGCCUUGUAGUGUGUUCUCUCUGCCAGCUCAGUUUCUCCCCACGUUAUACCUGACACUGUUUUCACUCAGCCAUCAGCUCAUAACUGCGAUGUCUCUACUGUGUCCUCGAGUAAUGCUUCCCAGACAUAGAUGAAGAUUCCUCAGCAGACUUCUCUGCCUUCAUUUGAUCCUUUUUUUUUCUGUUUCCUUUGCCAGGUCCUUUUCCAGGUAUGGAACCCCUCCCUCCAAGACGACUGGUCAGCCUCUCAUGCCAUUUUCCUUGUGCUUCCCUGUUCUUCUUGUGUAGGUCCAAUUCCAUGCUACUAGGUAUGAGGCUUCCAGACAUUACCCUAAUUUUCACAGAUGGUAUGGCUCUGAGAGCCUGUAAUCUUGAAAGGGUUUUAUAUUAUUUACAUAUGUCCUCACUCACUUCACUACUCACUCUCUGUUGAUCCUCCCUGUCUGUCUGUCUGUCUGUCUGUCUGUCUGU
rnacentral:sRNA from 1 species